rnacentral:misc_RNA from 1 species
GUAAUUGUAUGGUAAGAAAGAGAAAUAUCUGCAGGAGUACAAUGUAUUGGACCUGCAAUUUCAUCACAUAUUGAUGAAUUAUAUUGUGCUUAUAUGCUCACAUACACUAAAGAAUGGACUUUUUUUCCUUUUAAUAUUCUUUACAUUUGUGCAUCAAAUAUAUUAUGUCACAUGCAUAUUGAUGAAGAGGCAUGUCAUUUUGAUAAAUUAAUUUUUUGAACUCAAGUUUAAUUGAAACACCCACACACAGAGGGAAAGGGCCAAAGGGGAAAGACAUUUUUUUCAUUUUGAUAAAUUAUCAGCUCUUGAUGAUUGUGAGAAUAACAUUCCUCAUCCUAAGACAAAUAAUAAAAUAAACUUCUUUUAGCAUUCUCAUUUUUCCUUUUUUU